rnacentral:lncRNA from 1 species
UGCCACGGUACGAAACUUUCCUACGGCGCAACACAUGUGAGCGCACACGCCAUAACAAAGCCGCCAUUGUGCCACGACAACAUGGCCGCUACAGCGCAAAAAUCGUGAAAAAAUGAAGAAAAAUGCCAUGACUACGUCACUUCCUACACACUUUUCUCCUAGCGCGCGGAGGGGGUAGGGCGUCUCCUCAGUUUCUUUCCUCCUGGGAC